rnacentral:rRNA from 1 species
UACAGAGGUCUCAAGCGUUGUUCGGAUUCAUUGGGCGUAAAGGGUGUGUAGGUGGUGGGGGUAAGUCGGAUGUGAAAUCCCGGGGCUCAACCCCGGAACUGCAUUCGAUACUGCCUUGCUCGAGUACUGGAGAGGAGACUGGAAUUUACGGUGUAGCAGUGAAAUGCGUAGAUAUCGUAAGGAAGACCAGUGGCGAAGGCGAGUCUCUGGACAGUUACUGACACUGAGGCACGAAGGCCAGGGGAGCAAACGGG